rnacentral:tRNA from 1 species
GUGGCUGUGGCUCAGUGGUAGAGCACUCGCCUAGAACGUGCAGGGCCCUGGGUUUGAUCCUCAGCACCACA